AGGACGUGUGCCGAAGCCAGCCCCGCGGAAGACUGAGCAGUUUAUAUUGCCUCAUGGACUUGAUGUGGAGGCAUCAUGCGGGUCUCAGUGGGUGACUGAAUAUAUGGAAAGCUUUGGUUUUCCACAACUGCCCCGCCCAGCACCUCCAAAAAAACCUGCACCGCCUAAGGCCUCAUUUAGGAAGCUUCAACGUCCUCCUCAUCCUCGGACUGAAUACCAGACUGUGUUUGGUCCUAAGUUCCGCACCGCUGAUUUCGAUGUCCUCCUGUAUCGACAGCUCCAUGGAACAGCGUAAAAGCAGGUCGCUGGGAGCCAAAAUACUGCUAAAACAAGGCUGACCAACAGCCCCGCCCCUCAACAAAUAACAAAGAAACAAAAAUCAACAAAAACUCAAAUUUAAAUCUACACUGAACAAAAUUAUAAACG